rnacentral:rRNA from 1 species
GGUCUGAGAGGAUGAUCAGUCACACUGGAACUGAGACACGGUCCAGACUCCUACGGGAGGCAGCAGUGGGGAAUAUUGGACAAUGGGCGAAAGCCUGAUCCAGCCAUGCCGCGUGUGUGAAGAAGGUCUUCGGAUUGUAAAGCACUUUAAGUUGGGAGGAAGGGCAGUAAAUUAAUACUUUGCUGUUUUGACGUUACCGACAGAAUAAGCACCGGCUAACUCUGUGCCAGCAGCCGCGGUAAUACAGAGGGUGCAAGCGUUAAUCGGAAUUACUGGGCGUAAAGCGCGCGUAGGUGGUUCGUUAAGUUGGAUGUGAAAUCCCCGGGCUCAACCUGGGAACUGCAUUCAAAACUGACGAGCUAGAGUAUGGUAGAGGGUGGUGGAA